ACAUGUUCACGUCACGCACGAGCUGGUAAAACGUGUACAAAUUAAUUACUUAUCGUGUUAUGUAUUAAAACCUAAGAAAGGUAUUUAUUGUUGUUUGCUCUGUGUUCUGCAUCGUUUAUGUUGCAUGUAAGGACUGUCCCUGUGAGAUGUGUGUGGAAGAUAGGCUGCUAGCAAACGGAGCUCAAACUUAGCGCCCUUGGAAGCAGAAGGAGUUUUCACGGUGUCAAAUGUCAGUCAGUCAAAAGGGGAGGAGAGAAAUUAAAGCUGCACCAGUCGAAGCUCUCUGCAUCUUGCUUUAUUAUUCCAAGCGGGUCGCUACAGUGAAAACUCCUUUCCGGCUACGAGAGACCUGCCAUCCCUGCAGAGAAGCUGAUGCCACCUCACCUGAGAUCCAGCUACCAAACGGAUACCAGCCUGCUGAUUCCGCUCACGUCGAUAUCCUGCACAGGCAAAAUCAAAAAGGACGGCACACUGAAGGACUGUCCCUGUGAGAUGUGUGUGGAAGAUAGGCUGCUAGCAAACGGAGCUCAAACUUAGCGCCCUUGGAAGCAGAAGGAGUUUUCACGGUGUCAAAUGUCAGUCAGUCAAAAGGGGAGGAGAGAAAUUAAAGCUGCACCAGUCGAAGCUCUCUGCAUCUUGCUUUAUUAUUCCAAGCGGGUCGC